GGAAGAUUGCCAGAGUGGAUUAAUGGAACGGUCUUGAAAACCGUCGUAGAUGAAAUAUGCUACCGUAGGUUCGAAUCCUACAUCUUCCGCCA
rnacentral:tRNA from 1 species